rnacentral:rRNA from 1 species
UACGGGGGGGGCAAGCGUUGUUCGGAAUUACUGGGCGUAAAGGGCUCGUAGGUGGCCAACUAAGUCAGACGUGAAAUCCCUCAGCUUAACUGGGGAACUGCGUCUGAUACUGGAUGGCUUGAGUUUGGGAGAGGGACGCGGAAUUCCAGGUGUAGCGGUGAAAUGCGUAGAUAUCGUGAGGAACACCAGUGGCGAAGGCGGGUCUCUGGACAGUUCCUGACGCUGAGGCACGAAGGCCAGGGGAGCAAACGGG